AGUUUUUGUAGAGGAGAGCUCUUGCCAUGUUGCCCAGGCUGGUCUCGAACUCCUGGGCUCAAGCAAUCCCCUCGCCUUGGCCUCCCACAGUGCUGGAGUACGGGGCCUGGCCGUGGACUCCACUUUCUACAUAGCCUGCUAUGCGAAGCCUAAUUCACGCCAAGGGCGUGGAGUUGAUUUAGGGCUAAUUCACAUGCCCGCCCUGAGGUGCCUACUUCAUCUGGUACAGGUUGUUGGUGCCGCGGUGGUCGAUGUCAUGGCACAGGCCGGCUGUCACCAUGGCGAAGGCCUCCAGAACAGGAACCGCACCAGGACCUGGGGGAGCCGAGAGGACACAGGGCUCCGGCGGCAAGCGUGUAAGUCCCGCCAGAGCGGCACCUGUGGCUGACUUCACAGUGGAAGCCCUGCUCCGUGCCAUCAUCCCCACACCGUCUCCUGGACUUCCCGAUCUUCCCCAUCCCUGCGUUUCCCACUGGCCUCUGCUGGCCUUCCUGGGUAGGGGCUGCCACAUUGGCACCUAUGGGGUGGAGCCAGGUAGGGCAGGAGCUGAGAACAGCCCCAGCCUUCAGGGGCCGCCCAGCCUCCAUCCGACUGCCUGGCCUCAAGCUGGGAGGAGGACCCCUGGGGAUGCAGCAUAUUUUAAGAUGUUGGUUUUAGGCAUGGACAUUUGAAUGAGCAGAAUGUGUGGGCUGCAGGCUGGGGUGGGAGAACCGAUGUCCGCAGGGCAAGAGAAUGCUGGUCUCUCUUGCCCUGCGGACAUCGCCAGGAGGCUCUUCCUGCGGCCAUUGUGAUUUUUAGGGUCAGAAAAUUAUUUGGAAAUAUUUUUUAUUCUGCAAAUAUUUUCUAUACAUUUUUUCUUGAGUGUUUUCCCUUAGUAUUUAGUAAAACUUCUUUUGAAAAUGCUGGCCUGCUGCACCUGUUCUCAGAGGGGCAUGAGAAAAGAGGAUUCUCUUCCUAGGGCUGUGGGAAGCCCCUUGAGAUGUUGGAAGCAGGGCAGGGCAGGAGAACCCAGGGAGGGCACAGAGCUGUGGACGAGGGCUGGGAAAGCCAUCCCGCCUCCCCAGGGGGUCUCCGAGGAGUGCUGCUGUGGCCAAACCAGGGGGGCCACUUUGUGCUUUCUGUUUAGGUGAUGGGAUGCUUCUAUCUCCUCAGCACCCCACACCAAAUCCCCUGUUAUUGCCAGAUGAUGUGCCUAAUGAUCAAAUUGCUUGGAACUCCUAAUAAUAAAACUUUAAAUCUAUCCAUUCACCAUCCAUCUGCUGUCCACCCAUCCAUUCACCCAUUCAUUGACCCAUCUAUUAAUUCAUUAAUUGACCCACCUACUCAUCUAUCACUCAUCCACCCACUUCUCCAUCCAUCCACCUAUCCAUUCACUUAUCCAACCAUCUAACUACCAUUGGCCCACUCACCCAUCCAUCCAUUUAUCCAACCAUCCAACUACCAUUGGCCCACCCACCCAUCCAUUUAUCCAACUAUCCAACUACCAUUGGCAUCCACCCAUCCAUUCAUUUAUUCUUCCUUUGUUUCUUUCUGCUUGCCUGUUGGCCUUCCUUCCUUCCUAACCUCCCUCCUUCCUCCCUGCUUUUCACCCAUCCAGCCAUCCAUCAAUCCAGCCAUCCACCCAGCCAUCCAAUUAUUUGUUUUAUGCUUACUUCCCGUGUGCAUUUUACCUGUUCUGUGAUGAACAUGUCGGCCCUCUAAACUUCCUGUGGGAUCUGGAACCCCCAAUCCCAUCCCCCUCACCUUCUGGGGCACCUGAGGCCCUGAUCACAUCCCCACCCCCAUGUCCUGGGCGGCCUCAGGGACCUGACUAUGCGCCCUGCGGUGUCUCCCACCUCCUGGGGGAUCUGGAACUUUCGGACCACGCCCAGCUCGUAGUACAUCUGGAUGCCACAUUUGACCAGGUCCAGUUCGGUGCACUCCAGGUCAGAGAAGUGGAAUUCGUAGAUGUCAAAUGUGGUGGGCCCUGGCAGCUCCUCCUUCUGUGGGAGGGAUUGUGGGCUGAGGGAGGUUGGCCUGCCACAGCCCCCACUUGCUUCUCAUCCUUUCUUCUCUCCAGAUCCCCUGCCAAGCCUCAGACACCUCAGGCAUCUCUGAGGAGAUGUGUCAUUCCUGGCGCUCCAGCCUGUAUCCCAGGCUGCUCACACGCCCCCCUGGCUCAGCCUCACUCUCCCCUCUUGUACCCUGUGGCCCAACAGUGAAGAACUUGCCCAGUUGGGUGGACAGGGUGAUGUUGUUGAGACAAGAAAACACAAAGGUGUGCACAUGAAAAGAAACACACACACACACGGAUACAGACACACGUGACACAGGCACACCUGGAUACACGGCCACUCCCAUGAAUACAAAGGCACCGGUGUGGACACACAGGCACACACAUGAGCACCCAGGCACACCCACAGACAUGCAGGCACACACGUGCAGACUCACGCAUGUAGGCUCACACACACAGCCAUGAGGUAACACACACAACAGUGGACUUUCAGACCCACCAGGCACAUUCCCAUGCUCAGUCCAAGGCCUACUCACAAGGCUCGUGGCCCCGGGAGAUUCUGGCUAAAUUGCAUAGGCAGACACAGGGUGAUGGGGACACCACAUAAUCCCCACAUUGAUCCAGCAAUCGUCUCUAGGAGACACACACAAGCAUGUGUCUAUAUAUAUCCAUGUGCACACACAUGCACACACAAUACACACCCCCUGUGCACAUGUGAGCACACACACAUGGGUGCACACACGGGCACACACACACAAACGCCCAUGUGCACACACAUGCACACACAUACUCGUGGGCACACAUGUGCACACACAUGUGUACACAUGUGCACAUUCAUACAAUGCACACACGCACACACAUACCCACAUGUGCACACACACACCCACAUGUGCACACAUGUACACACCUGUGCAGACGCCCACGUGUGCACACACACCUACAUGCACACACACGUACACACUUGUGCACACACAGACACCCACAUGUGCACACACAUGCACACAGACACCCAUGUGCGUGCACACAUGCGGAUGCACACACACUGGGAGUUGCAGGCACCUAGGCACUCUGAGAGCAGAGAUGACAUAGAUGGACACAGAGUCCAAGUCAGGCCCACUAAACAUCCGGUGAAAACUAAACAUCUGGCAAAGCACAGAGGAGACAGGAAGACACGAAGAUACACUCAGGAGUGCAGACAUCAAAGCCACAUUCUGGCCAUGCAAACACACUCAGGGACACACUGGCUGAGACUGAAAGCCAGGCUUAUGUACACACACGUACACUAAGGUGCUUAGAUACACAAGUAUACACACACAGCACCAACAUCCCUGAUGACCGUGUGUGCAAAGCACCGUCGGGUCCCGGAGAAUGCAGAACUCUUCCUCCCAGCCUCACACGUGGCCGGCCUCCAUGGGAGGGACGGGAGCAAGGUUCUUACCAGGAUUUCGCCCAGCUCGUCCUCAUCGCAGUCAGCAGGCUCCUUCCCCAGGCGCGCUCUGGUUGGCUACACAGAGACACAGAUGUGUCACGAGAAAGAGCUUCGCAUGUGGGACAAGGUGACGGCGGUGCGUCCACCCCGUGUGAGCUAGAGGAAGGUGCUGUCAAGAGCUUGUGCUUUCACCCUGGGAAGGCCCUGGCGGCCUCUGAUCUGGAGACAAAUGACCGUGUGCAUGGCCUGCUGACUUUCCCACCUGUCCUCUCUCGGGCACUGCCUUACGCAGUCCUCAGGUAUAAUGAUGGGACUCUCUCAUGAUGACCAGGAGGGCUCUGGCCAUGCAAGGCCCCUGGCUGGGGAGAUUGAGCACAGGGAAGGGAUGCCAGGGCCGUGCAGACAGAGGGACCUCGGGGGCAUGCCAGGGCUGUACUCAGCUCUGGCCCCAGGGCCGUGUCCCCACCACACAGAGAGAGCUGUGACCCCUGGGUAACCUGGCCGCCCACUGCACAGAGGGAGCCGUGACCCCUGGGUGACCUGCCCCACACAGCUGUGACCCCUGGGUGACCUGCCCCCACCGCACAGCCAUGACCCCUGGGUGACCUGCCCCUGCCACACAGCCGUGACCCCUGGACGACCUGCCCCGCACACCUGUGACCCCUGGGUGACCUGCCCCCACCACACAGCCAUGACCCUUGGGUGACCUGCCCCGCACACCUGUGACCCCUGGACGACCUGCCCCCGCCGCACAGCCGUGACCCCUGGUGACCUGUCCCUGCCACAGAUCCAUGACCCCUGGGUGACCUGCCCCCGCCACACAGCCGUGACCCCUGGCGACUUGCCCCCACCAUACAGCCAUGACCCCUGGUGACCUGUCCCCACCGCACAGCUGUGACCCCUGGUGACCUGCCCCCGCCGCAGAGCCAUGACCUCUGGGUGACCCCUGGAUGGACCCCUGGACGACCUGCCCCCACCACACAGCCGUGACCCCUGGAUGACCUGCCCCCACCGCACAGCCAUGACCCCUGGGUGAGCCCUGGAUGACCUGCCUCUGCUGCACAGCCAUGACCCCUGUGACCCCUCAAUGGACCCCUGGACGACCUGCCUGUGCCACACAGCCAUGACCCCUGGGUGACCCCUGGACGACCUGCCCCUGCCGCACAGCCGUGACCCCUGGGUGACCCCUGGACGACCUGCCCCCGCCGCACAGCCAUGACCCCUGGCCGUGACCCCUGGGUGACCCCUGGACGACCUGCCCCCACCGCACAGCCGUGACCCCUGGGUGACCCCUGGAUGACCUGCCCCCACCACACAGCCGAGACCCCUGGGUGACCCCUGGACGACCUGCCCCUGCCACACAGCCGUGACCCCUGGGUGACCCCUGGACGUCCUGCCCCGCCGCACCAGGAUGAGCUGGAUCUCGUCCCUGUCGCACUUCACGUGGUAAAGGACCAUGUCCUGUGCGAUGUCCUUGCGGUUCUCCAGCUUGUUCAUCUUGUCGUAGGUGUCGGUGUUCAUCACUGACCAGCCCAGGAACUGUGUCAGGGACUGGAGGGGAUGGCAGUGUCACUGGCGCUCAGCGCUCCCGGCGCGCCCCCUCCCAUGUGCCUGUGUGCCAGGCCCCGUGGCUCGGCGGGCAGGUCCUGGGGCUGCCACCAUGGUGUCGCAGUGCUUCUGUGUGGGGUCUCCCGGGUGCUCUGCAGAGGCUCCUGCUCCCGGGGGGGCCCUUUGUCGUCCUCUCCCUGGCCGCAUGCAUACCGCACACACAUGAGCACACGCACACAGCCGAAUGCUUGGCGGGGAGGCCCCCACACCGCACAGGCCCCACCCCUCGCAGGGCAUCCCCGGCGGAACCACGUCUGCCCAGGUGCUUACCUCCAUGAGAACCUCGUCCUGUUCGUCAAAGGGCUUCCCGUCUUUCCUGUUGUAAAAUGUGGCGACUCCCACAAUCUCCUCCUUCUUGUUGACGAUGGGCAUGGACAGCACAUUCUUGAUGAGCCACCCGGAGUCGUCCAGGGCCCCUUCCUGCGGGAGCGGUGUCCAGAGCUGAGCUCCGCCCUGAGGCUGGCCCUGGCCCGGGCGUGUGGCCGGGGAGAGUGACCUCAUGUCUUCUCCCCUAGAGCCGUGACGGCUGGGCUCGUGUUCCUGUCUCUGCUCUCUGCAUUCCCUCUCUCCCUCUCUGCAUUUGGAGUUUGUGUCCAUGGUUUUUGUGUCAUGAUAUUUUCCCACCGGAGGAGGUAGAGGCCGUUUUCCCACCAGGAGUGGUUUCAUGGGCAUGUGUGUGGGGCGGCGGUCACGGCCUCGCAGGGGUGUGUGGGGGCCGCGGUCACGGCCUCGCAGGGGUGUGUGGGGGCCGCGGUCACGGCCUCGCAGGGGUGUGUGGGGGCCGCGGUCACGGCCUUGCGGGCGUGUGUGGGGGCUGUGGUCACAGCCCCAGGUGAUCCACCCGCCUCAGCCUCCCAAAGUGCUGGGAUUACAGGCGUGAGCCACCAUGCCUGGCUGAAGUUGUUUUUUAAGUGGCAAAAACGAAUUCACUUCAUCAUCGCUGAAUCAAAAUCUCCUCUUUUGUAAGUAAGUAUAAUUUCUACCAAGGCACAGACAGAUACCUGAAAUUUGAACAUUUCGUCAGCGGAAGCAUUCAUGAUGUUACAAAUCUGAAAAAGCAUCAGAAAAACGAUUUCAUCCAAAACAGCGGAAGGUCUGUUAUGAUCUAAAAUGGCCUCUGUGGCCCUGAGGUGAGCUUUUAAGUAGGUAAAGCAGGGCAGCUGGGGGCUUCACUGAGGCACGUGGAGCUGGCCGGGAGGGCGGGACGUGGCAGAGACAAGGAGAAGCACACAUCGCCGCACCCAGUGAGGGCAAGGCUGUGGGGACUCCAGACAGCACGGGACUCACAAAGCCGCUUUCUGCCACGUAGCUUGGAAGGCCGCUGGCCAGGGCCCAGUGAUCGGCUGAGGGUGUGCUGUGGGCAGAGAGCAGGGGUCAGAUAGGCCACGCCGGGCUGGAUGUGCGCGUGCAGGAGUCAGAGGGACUGGAUGUCUGUGUGCAGGGGUGAGAGGGGCUGGUCUAGGCUGCACGUGUGUGUGCAGGGGUCAGAGGGGCUGGUCUGGGCUGCACGUGUGUGUGCAGGGGUCAGAGGGGCCAGGCUGCGCUGGAUGUAGGUGUACUGGGGUCAGAUGGACUGGGCGUGUGUGCAGGGGUCUGGGGGUCUCUGGCUCAUGUGCCAUCCUCAGCAUUUACUCUCUUCUCUGAGUGCCAGGGGGUUCAGGAGGCGAGGAGGCCAGGGCGUGGGUUGGAGGACGGCUGUGCUGCCUUCUUCCUCCUCCCCAGGCUGCCGUGCUGGGGCCCCUCCCUCUUGGGAACCCCUCCCUCUCCGGAGGCCGUAUGGCUUCAGCCUGCUUUCUAGGACUCAGCGUUGGUGCCUGCCCUGCCACCCUGACCCUGACUUGUGCUCAAGCCUGGCACCUGGAUCCUGGUUCCUGCUUGGGGCCUGGGGAUGGGGUCCCAAUAGGCUUAUGGGAUCACAGGGCCACUGGGCCACCAGCUGCCCCUCCCUUGGCUGGAGUCCUGCCCUGACCUCCGGACUGGAGUUCCCCUCCUCUUCCAGCCCCACGGGGCCAAGACUCGGCCUCCUGGCUGGAGGCUCCACUGUCUGGGUGGGGCUGGUGGUGCCAGGGUCAAAUCCUGGGGCCUUCAUGCUCAAUUGUUGCUGACGAGGCCGCCUGGACAGCUUGCCUGGUCCCCUGUAUGUCCACUCUGGAUGUCCACAGUGACUCGGGCUCCUCAGCAGCCCACGUCCUCCUCACCAUCUCCCAGAACAUUGGAGUCAGGGAAACAGAGGCGUGUGGACAGGCCCUGGGCCCCUCCCCUAAGACUCACCCGGCCAUCAGGCGUGCGUGGGCCCGAGUACGGCUGGGACUCUCCCAUCAGCACAGACCACACGUCAAAAAAUUCCUGGGCAGAGAAGAGGAGGCCCACGGAGUACCGCUCGCAGUUGAGGUAGGCCCGCACCGUGUAGAAGGCCUUGUGGAACUGCCUCUCGAUGUCCGUCAGCUCCUCAAACACCUUGUUGGCCGACCACAGCAGCACCUGGAGGGAGGGGCACACCUGUGGGCCUGUGGCCACUCCCACCCUCACGCCGGUCUGACCACAGCAGCAGGGGUUUAACUCAAGCCUGACACAGGUUUCAUCUGAGCUUGUGGGGCCCGGGAGCUGGCUGGCGGUGAGGCCUCGAGGCUGCGGUCGUGUCCCUGAUCACUCAGGAGUGGACGAGUGGAAAGUGGAAUCUGUCGCUUUGAGCUUGACAGGCAAACAUCCGACCAGCCCUUCCUCCGCCCGGCUGCUCCAGAACCACCUGCGGCGAGCAGGGCUUUGAGAACAUCGGGCCGUGGUUUCCGCACGUCAGGCCGCCUGUGGCCUCCGCCAAGCGUCUGAGAGUGAAGCAUUGCUGACGCACUCCACGAGGUCCUGGCCAGACCCCACUCAGGACAUCCCGCUGCACAGGCCCCUGGUUGCUGGGUCAGCGCUGCCACCAGGCUCAGACUCACCCCAGGGCCCUCCUUGGGCCACCUUUCUCUGCCUCCUUGGUCAAGGCCCAGACCCAGGCCCCACCAGGCCCUGCCUCCUCACACUCGCGGCGGCCGCUGGGUCUUCUACCGCAUGGUGCCAGCUCCCUCUCCUCCGCUGCGGUGUCCUAGCCCAGCUCUCUCCCUGCCAGGCCCUCUGAAGUUCCACCCCCUGGCACUCAGCUCAUGGUGGGAACAGGACCAGGCUCUCCUGUUGCCAAGGGCAGUGAGAUGUUCGUAGCUUUAUUUCCCAGUACAUUGAUUUUACUGAUUUUAGUUUAUCUUCAGUUGAAUAAUUGUGUGUAUUGAUGGGGUUUAUGUUUUAUGGGGUUUGGCGUGAUGUUCUGAUGUAAGUAUUUGUUGCAGAAAGAUUCAAUUAAGCUAAUCAACAUAUCCAUCACCUCACCAACUUGUUUUUUUUGUGGUGAGAACAUUACAAGUCUAUUUUCUAGCAAUUUGGUAUACAAUACAGUCAUCCCUCGGCAUCCUCAGGGAAAUUGGUUCCAGGACGCCGCUCUGAUAACAAAAUCCGAGGAUGUUCAAGUCCCGGAUGUGAAAUGGCCUAGAGUUUGUACAGAGGUUGCACACGCACCCCCAGGACUUCAAAUCAUCUCCGAUGACUUAGCACCCAGUGCAAGGCAAGGCCAUGAAAACGGCUGUUCUACUGUAUUGUUUUACAUUCUUAUUCUUAUUUUUAAUUUAAAACUUUUCCCACAUCAUAAAUCCUCGGAAG
rnacentral:lncRNA from 1 species